UGGUGGGUAGUUUGACUGGGGCGGUCUCCUCCUAAAGAGUAACGGAGGAGCACGAAGGUUGGCUAAUCCUGGUCGGACAUCAGGAGGUUAGUGCAAUGGCAUAAGCCAGCUUGACUGCGAGCGUGACGGCGCGAGCAGGUGCGAAAGCAGGUCAUAGUGAUCCGGUGGUUCUGAAUGGAAGGGCCAUCGCUCAACGGAUAAAAGGUACUCCGGGGAUAACAGGCUGAUACCGCCCAAGAGUUCAUAUCGACGGCGGUGUUUGGCACCUCGAUGUCGGCUCAUCACAUCCUGGGGCUGAAGUAGGUCCCAAGGGUAUGGCUGUUCGCCAUUUAAAGUGGUACGCGAGCUGGGUUUAGAACGUCGUGAGACAGUUCGGUCCCUAUCUGCCGUGGGCGCUGGAGAACUGAGGGGGGCUGCUCCUAGUACGAGAGGACCGGAGUGGACGCAUCACUGGUGUUCGGGUUGUCAUGCCAAUGGCACUGCCCGGUAGCUAAAUGCGGAAGAGAUAAGUGCUGAAAGCAUCUAAGCACGAAACUUGCCCCGAGAUGAGUUCUCCCUGAGACUUAGAGUCUCCUGAAGGAACGUUGAAGACGACGACGUUGAUAGGCC
rnacentral:rRNA from 9 species